GUACUGAUGAAGAGUCCGAAACUAGAAGGAAACAGCUGUCCAGUAC
rfam:Trichobilharzia regenti genome assembly, scaffold: TRE_scaffold0000432